rnacentral:rRNA from 1 species
GUGUCAGCAGCCGCGGUAACACGUAGGAGGCAAGCGUUAUCCGGAUUUACUGGGCGUAAAGCGCGUGCAGGCGGUUCGGUAAGUUGGAUGUGAAAGCUCCUGGCUCAACUGGGAGAGGUCGUUCAAUACUACCGGACUUGAGAGCAGUAGAGGGAGGUGGAAUUCCCGGUGUAGUGGUGAAAUGCGUAGAUAUCGGGAGGAACACCAGUGGCGAAAGCGGCCUCCUGGACUGUUUCUGACGCUCAGACGCGAAAGCUAGGGUAGCAAACGGGAUUAGAAACCCGUGUAGUCC